ensembl:lncRNA
GAAAAUAUACCGCUAAACGCCUCCCAUCUUUUAUAACACACCAUACAGCAUAUCUGAGAGACCCUGUCCUCUGUUCCCCGUCAUCAUGUUUUACCAUUACUUCUUAAAAUAUGUAAUUUCUUCAUUUCAUGUUCUGAUACUUGCGCCAGUUAAGUAAAUAAGUGAAUAAAGCCAGAGAGACAAAUCUAGCUUUAACAACUUGCUGGUGAACAGUUAACACGUGGAUAAAUUAUGACUUUGCAGUUCCUGCUAGGAAUCUUGCAUACUUUGCAUGGACAGUCAGUAAAUGUCACUGCCACAUCUUGCUCUUCUUCUGUGGCUUCAUACUGUCACGAUAGCAGAAAACAUUGAGCCAAAAUGGAGAGAAUGAUCCAGGUAUUUCCUGCCCUCAGGAUGUUUAUGCAUAACUGAAGAUGUAUGCUUGUGGCUUUGUCUAUAUGUGUGUGUCUGUGUUUUUUUUUUUUUUAAACCAAGUUAUUUCUGACUCCUCAGCUGUUUUUAAUUAACCUAUUAACCUACCAAAUUAAGUCAAUCACAGCUUCACUGCUGUAAGGUCAGCCUCUGUGGAAAAGAGAGACUUGGCUCAAACCACACAAGCCUAGAGAUCAUCCUUCAGACUCCUUAGCAACCACAAAAAAUAGUGUAAGAAUAGUUGCCUGCAGACAAGUUUGUGAGUUCCAUGCAAUCUACUGCUGACAGCUGCAAGCUGCUAGCAAUCAAAGAAAUCACUAGAAGACUUUCAGUGCAUUAGCACAACUGCUUUGGGACUGAUUACAACCAAUGACAGCCUUCAGCAACCUUCAGCAACCAUUCACUGACUGGUUGGGGACUACACAGAUUUUCAGAGCAACUAGGGAUUGUCAGUGGAGUCAGUGGCCAGUCUCUAGGCCUUUGCAAAUCGGUUCUUAUCCAUCCAUCUCAACUGGAGGGAGCCUUUCGCCAGCUGAGAAAUAUAAUAAUUCCAGCGAGUUCUGAGUCUUCCUUGGGACCUCCUCCCAGUAGAGCAUGCUCAGAAUACCUCACACAGGAGGCAUCCAGGAGGCAUCCCAGUCAGAUGCCCAAACCACCUCAACUGGCUCUAUUUGAUGCGGAGGAGCAGCGGCUCUACUCCAAGUCCUUCUUGAGCUCUUUAUGUACGGACAAUGUUUUCAUUUUGCUUGUUGGGAGUGUGAUUUGAAAAACUUCACUUUCACUUUAAUUAAAAUAAACAAUAAUAAUAAAAAAAUUAUCUGUGACCCUUUAUAAAAUGCUUUAGAUUUAUCUCAUCUAGAACUGAUGAAACACAAAUGACCCACACAGUAGUAGCAGGUUUCCUCUUCAGCAAAUAUCCCUUCAAAAAUGGCAUCAGAUGGAUUUAAAAAACAAAACAAAACAAAAAACAAAACAAACGGACACAAAUGAGGAUCUAAGGAAAAAAGUUUUUAAAAAUCUAAUAUUUCCUUGUCUUUCCCUUUGGAUUUUUUUUUAAUUUUAAAAAGCAGUGAAACAUCAAAUAACUUUAGUUAUGCUGCAUAACUCACGAAACUGAUGUAACUGACAUAAACCACAUAAUGAUCAUAAAAAGAUUCAUGCCCAUGCAAUGCUGGUUCCUGUCUCUGCCGCUGCUGCCCACAAACACACAAGCUUACACACAGAGACAUACAUGAUUUUACUGUGUUACGCAAUCGACAUAAUUACAUGUCUGUAAGCACGGAGUUUUCACUGUUGAGGAAUUAGGCCAGAUGAGUUCAAUUCUGAUUACAAGUCAGCAC